UGUGUUGAAGGACUGUGGAUAUUAUAAUGUCCUCAUCAGAGAGGACUGUGUCUGUGUUGAAGGACUGUGGAUAUUAUAAUGUCCUCAUCAGGGAGGACUGUGUCUGUGUUGAAGGACUGUGGAUAUUAUAAUGUCCUCAUCAGAGAGGACUGUGUCUGUGUUGAAGGACUGUGGAUAUUAUAAUGUCCUCAUCAGAGAGGACUGUGGAUAUUAUAAUGUCCUCAUCAGAGAGGACUGUGGAUAUUAUAAUGUCCUCAUCAGAGAGGACUGUGGAUAUUAUAAUGUCCUCAUCAGAGAGGACUGUGUCUGUGUUGAAGGACUGAUCUAGGGUCAGGCUGGGUAGGUAGGUAGGGGCUGGUAGGUCGAUGAGGUGCUUACUACAUGGGCAUGACUGCAUAUACUUGAAUAGAAGGUGUUCUUCAGAGCCUGGGGUUGUCUCAGUAAUACUGAAUAGUUCUUCAGAGUCUGGGGUUGUCUCAGUAAUUCUGACUAGAAGGUGAUCUUCAGAGCCUGGGGUUGUCUCAGUAAUUCUGACUAGAAGGUGAUCUUCAGAGCCUGGGGUUGUCUCAGUAAUUCUGAAUAGAAGUUGUUUUUCAGAGCCUGGGAUUGUCUCAGUAAUUCUGACGAGAAGGUGAUCUUCAGAGCCUGGGGUUGUCUCAGUAGUUCUGACUAGAAGGUGAUCUUCAGAGCCUGGGGUUGUCUCAGUAAUUCUGAAUAGUUCUUCAGAGCCUGGGGUUGUCUCAGUAAUUCUGAAUAGUUCUUCAGAGCCUGGGGUUGUCUCAGUAAUACUGACUAGAAGGUGUUCUUCAGAGCCUGGGGUUGUCUCAGUAAUACUGAAUAGUUCUUCAGAGCCUGGGGUUGUCUCAGUAAUACUGAAUAGUUCUUCAGAGCCUGGGGUUGUCUCAGUAAUACUGACUAGAAGGUGUUCUUCAGAGCCUGGGGUUGUCUCAGUAAUACUGACUAGAAGGUGAUCUUCAGAGCCUGGGGUUGUCUCAGUAAUACUGAAUAGAAGGUGAUCUUCAGAGCCUGGGGUUGUCUCAGUAAUACUGACUAGAAGGUGUUCUUCAGAGCCUGGGGUGUCUCAGUAAUACUGACUAGAAGGUGAUCUUCAGAGCCUGGGGUUGUCUCAGUAAUUCUGACUAGAAGGUGUUCUUCAGAGCCUGGGGUUGUCUCAGUAAUACUGAAUAGAUCUUCAGAGCCUGGGGUUGUCUCAGUAAUACUGAAUAGUUCUUCAGAGCCUGGGGUUGUCUCAGUAAUACUGAAUAGAUCUUCAGAGCCUGGGGUUGUCUCAGUAGUUCUGACUAGAAGGUGAUCUUCAGAGCCUGGGGUUGUCUCAGUAAUUCUGACUAGAAGUUGUUCUUCGGAGCCUGGGGUUGUCUCAGUAAUACUGAAUAGUUCUUCAGAGCCUGGGGUUGUCUCAGUAAUACUGACUAGAAGGUGAUCUUCAGAGCCUGGGGUUGUCUCAGUAAUACUGACUAGAAGGUGAUCUUCAGAGCCUGGGGUUGUCUCAGUAAUUCUGAAUAGAAGGUGUUCUUCAGAGCCUGGGGUUGUCUCAGUAAUACUGAAUAGAAGUUGUUCUUCGGAGCCUGGGGUUGUCUCAGUAAUACUGAAUAGUUCUUCAGAGCCUGGGGUUGUCUCAGUAAUACUGACUAGAAGGUGAUCUUCAGAGCCUGGGGUUGUCUCAGUAAUACUGACUAGAAGGUGAUCUUCAGAGCCUGGGGUUGUCUCAGUAAUUCUGAAUAGAAGGUGUUCUUCAGAGCCUGGGGUUGUCUCAGUAAUACUGAAUAGUUCUUCAGAGCCUGGGGUUGUCUCAGUAAUUCUGAAUAGUUCUUCAGAGCCUGGGGUGGUCUCAGUAAUACUGAAUAGAAGGUGUUCUUCAGAGCCUGGGGUUGUCUCAGUAAUUCUGAAUAGUUCUUCAGAGCCUGGGGUUGUCUCAGUAAUACUGAAUAGAAGGUGUUCUUCAGAGCCUGGGGUUGUCUCAGUAAUUCUGACUAGAAGGUGUUCUUCAGAGCCUGGGGUUGUCUCAGUAAUACUGAAUAGUUCUUCAGAGCCUGGGGUUGUCUCAGUAAUACUGAAUAGUUCUUCAGAGCCUGGGGUUGUCUCAGUAAUACUGAAUAGUUCUUCAGAGCCUGGGGUUGUCUCAGUAAUACUGAAUAGAAGGUGAUCUUCAGAGCCUGGGGUUGUCUCAGUAAUACUGAAUAGUUCUUCAGAGCCCGGGUGGUCUCAGUAAUACUCCGGGUUGUAGUGAAAGACAGUUAGUGUUAUAACACGUGGUUAUAAAGCACUCUGGUUAAUCAGGACUUAAGGUGGACUCAUGUAGCUUUUUGAAUUGCUUAGUUUCUACCAUGUUGACUGUUGCAACUGUAGAGUAGCAGUUUUAUUGUUCCUUCAAUCGUUUCUUUAAUCAUAUUUUCAGUCGUGAACCCGAUACGUGUCUCUGGCCAGAGUGUAAAUCCCUAAAACGCUUGUUCCCUUUUGCACAGCCAAAAAAAGUGUUCCCAUAUCCCCCUUGCUUUAUGUGGAAGGCAAGCUGUAAAACAGAUUCCUAAACCUAGUAAUGAACAUUUUCCCCAAAUGUGUUGAACCUUCAGAUUUUAUAAAGUAUUUGACAAAGGUUUUUAUUAGUUAACCGUAAAUCAGACUUCUUCAAAGAUUUGUCAAAGUUGUACUUAUUUAUUUUACAUAAAACAAUAUUGUCAAAAUAAAAGAGGCAAUCUAAAAGAUAUUCAACUGAACUUAGGGCUGAAUAGAACAGAAUGUUGUGUUGUGGUCUCGUCGUCGGUUGGUCGGUCGGUAACCAUGGAGCCACUUAUGACCUAAUGCACAAGAACUAUACUAUGGGAUCCUAUCAGACUGUCACUGUGUGGACACGGAGCAGAAGACUCUGUUUGAUUGGACUUCAGAACAGGUGUGGCUGGCUGGGGAUUGGAUGGACGACCUGGUGACCUCAUCGGGUCAGGGAGUGGAGCCCCGGCCUGCCCCGCUGAUGAUUGGUUCAGUGCCUGCCAGGGCCAGCUGCACACUGCUCAGUAGCCCCGCCCCCUUUGGAACCCAUUGCCACCUGCUGAUUGGAGAACAUCAGCGGGGAGGGGCAGGACAGGGGGGCGGGGUCACAACGUUCUUUUGACUUUUUUAUUGUAGUUGUUUUGUGGAUUUGAUAGUCGGGAGGAAUCGUGCCCUUAGGUCGAAUACAAUGUGCCUUUGGUUAUUAAUGCCAUUCAUUUAGUAGCCCGAGACCAGUAACAUAAUGACUUCAUCCCCCUACAUACACCGACCUACAGCACAGCUCCCCUGAACAUACAUCCAUUUCACAGAUGUUUGAAAUGUUUACAGUCAUUUUCAUGGAUGUUUUCUUCAAGCCCAAAGACAGUCUUCCUGGCUUAACCUCUGAUGUGGUAGCGAGGAGAAAGCCAAGCGGCCGCACAAUGACAGGUAUUACAUGGGCUGCAUCCACAAUGGCACCCUAUUCCCUAUACAGUGCACUACUUUUGAUAGGGCUCUGGUCAAAAGUAGUGCACUAUAUAGGGAAUAGGGUGCCAUUUCGGGGAAACAGCCGUGCAGUUUCGAGACAGAGCGUCAGAUCUUUUGGGAUGACUAACUCUCACCUGGAAACACCCUUUGCCAACAGGGAAACGCUUGGUAAGAAGCAAUCACCUUAUGCUCUGAAAGGGUUCGGGAACUGACAGCCUCUGUCUUGUCUUCACAUCAAAACACUUCAAGGGGUUGUAGCUAUUAUCUUUUAUUUUAUUACUCCCGAAGAGAAGGACAAAAAUACAUUUGAAUCUUUACCUCAGACUGUUGUGAUAGAUAUAUCUUCUUAUUGUGAUUUGAAUAACCCAGGGCAUUUGGUUACAUACCAAAGUGCAUUCCUUUCUACGUUUGUGGCUAUGAGGAAAUGAAGCCAGUGGAUUUUGUCUCUUAUUUUUCUGAGUAAAAAAUAAAUAAGGCACUCAAACCACUUUUGGUCAUUCAAGGGCCAUAUCUAUCUAUAUCUAUCUAUCUAUCUAUCUGGAGAAUGCUUGUCUUCAGCUGAGAAGGAAGUAGGGAGAUGGAGUACAGUGUUUAUUUUAUUACACCACUGUCUGAACGGCGUAGCACAACUCCAAACCUCUGUGUGCUCGACACGGUUGGAUGUAGCUUCUUUUCAGUGCAGUGUCAACUGUCCUAUCACAAUCUGCAGUCUAUAGUCGGUGUGUCAGUCAGCCCAAUGUGCUACUCCACGGUAAGGUAACAUAGCUGUGGCAGAAUCAAGCAUUUGGCUAUAUUGUAAAUGUUUUGAAAAUGAAUUUUUUUUAAAUACUUUUUUUUGCUACUUGUAAGAAUUUUAACUCUUGACUAUCUCGAGAGUUCUACUACACAACUUUUAGAAGACAGUCUCUAGUUCUACUACACAACUUUUAGAAGACUGUCUCGAGAGUUCUACUACACAACUUUUAGAAGACUGUCUCGAGAGUUCUACUACACAACUUUUAGAAGACUGUCUCGAGAGUUCUACUACACAACUUUUAGAAGACAGUCUCUAGUUCUACUACACAACUUUUAGAAGACUGUCUCUUCUACUACACAACUUUUAGAAGACUGUCUCUAGUUCUACUACACAACUUUUAGAAGACAGUCUCUAGUUCUACUACACAACUUUUAGAAGACAGUCUCUAGUUCUACUACACAACUUUUAGAAGACUGUCUCGAGAGUUCUACUACACAACUUUUAGAAGACUGUCUCGAGAGUUCUACUACACAACUUUUAGAAGACUGUCUCGAGAGUUCUACUACACAACUUUUAGAAGACAGUCUCUAGUUCUACUACACAACUUUUAGAAGACUGUCUCGAGAGUUCUACUACACAACUUUUAGAAGACUGUCUCGAGAGUUCUACUACACAACUUUUAGAAGACUGUCUCGAGAGUUCUACUACACAACUUUUAGAAGACUGUCUCGAGAGUUCUACUACACAACUUUUAGAAGACAGUCUCUAGUUCUACUACACAACUUUUAGAAGACUGUUUCGAGAGUUCUACUACACAACUUUUAGAAGGAAGUAAGAAAACAGAAUCUUGAACCGAGCAACAACGUUGAUAGAUGUUAGUACUCUUUACCACAGCCACGUACGCUGUACAUAUGUGAAAUUUGCGAUGGAUUCAAUGUGGAUUUGUACAUAUGUAUAAUGUUUUUGUCUUUGGUGAAAUGCUGCUGGAAGCACUACAUGAAUGUUGUAGUGGGUUUUAAGCUUGGUCAGUUUUACUAUAGUGUAUGUAAUGUACAGCUAAUGGAAGGUCACUCUUUUUUUAGUGAUUAUUUGUUAAAUUUUAUUGUUGUGGCCAGGAAAAUGUUAUUAAAUAAAAAAAAGUUUUAAUGUCCAUCUUUAUAAA